rnacentral:rRNA from 1 species
UACAGAGGUCUCAAGCGUUGUUCGGAUUCAUUGGGCGUAAGGUGCGUAGGUGGCGCCGUAAGUCGGGUGUGAAAUUUCGGAGCUUAACUCCGAAACUGCAUUCGAUACUGCGGUGCUUGAGGACUGGAGAGGAGACUGGAAUUCAUGGUGUAGCAGUGAAAUGCGUAGAGAUCAUGAGGAAGACCAGUGCGAAGGCGGGUCUCUGGACAGUUCCUGACACUGAGGCACGAAGGCCAGGGAGCAAACGGG